rnacentral:rRNA from 1 species
UGGGGAAUAUUGGGCAAUGGAGGAAACUCUGACCCAGCAACGCCGCGUGAAGGAUGAAGGUUUUCGGAUUGUAAACUUCUGUCGCAGAGGACGAAGAAUGACGGUACUCUGUAAGAAAGCUCCGGCAAACUACGUGCCAGCAGCCGCGGUAAUACGUAGGGAGCAAGCGUUGUCCGGAAUGACUGGGCGUAAAGGGAGUGUAGGCGGCUUGGCAAGUUAUAUGUGAAAGCCCUGAGCUUAACUCAGGAACUGCAUAUAAAACUGCCUGGCUAGAGUGUGGGAGAGGUAAGUGGAAUUCCUAGUGUAGCGGUGGAAUGCGUAGAUAUUAGGAGGAACACCAGUGGCGAAGGCGACUUACUGGACCAUAACUGACGCUGAGGCUCGAAAGCGUGGGGAGCAAACA